rnacentral:rRNA from 1 species
UUGGAGGGCAAGUCUGGUGCCAGCAGCCGCGGUAAUUCCAGCUCCAAUAGCGUAUAUUAAAGUUGUUGCAGUUAAAAAGCUCGUAGUUGAAUUUCGGGAUCAAUAUAUCGGUCAUGCUUAGGUAUGUACUGGUAUUAUUGAUUUCUCCCUUCUGAAGAACCAUGAUGUCAUUUAUUUGAUGUCGUGGGGAAUCAGGACUGUUACUUUGAAAAAAUUAGAGUGUUUAAAGCAGGCUUUCGCUUGAAUACAUUAGCAUGGAAUAAUGAAAUAGGACGUUUGAUUCUAUUUUGUUGGUUUCUAGGAUCGACGUAAUGAUUAAUAGGGAUAGUUGGGGGCAUUAGUAUUCAAUUGUCAGAGGUGAAAUUCUUGGAUUUAUUGAAGACUAACUACUGCGAAAGCAUUUGCCAAGGAUGUUUUCAUUAAUCAAGAACGAAAGUUAGGGGAUCGAAGACGAUCAGAUACCGUCGUAGUCUUAACCAUAAACUAUGCCGACUAGGGAUCGGAUGAUGUUAAUUUUUUAAUGACUCAUUCGGCGCCUUACGGGAAACCAAAGUGUUUGGGUUC